ensembl:lncRNA
CCAGAAAAGCAUGCAGGCCUUAAACCUUAAUAUACAGAAAACAACACAUACCUUUCACAAAGGCAGCUGCUUUUCACAGAACUGCAGGCUGGGCUGGAAAUCUGCAGAAGUGGCAUAAGAUCGUCAUAGAAAUAAAAUCAGAAUUUUAUUUUGUCAGGUGGCACAUGGCAUUCUACAAGCAUUGGAAGAUCUACUAGCAUUGGAAAUCGUGUGUGUGAGAUUUUCUUAUGCUGUUACUUUUCAGAUCUCUGAAAUGGCUACUCAGUUGUUCAGCACUACUUGAGUAAAAUAGAUAUUGUAUAGAUACACAGCUUGAUUUAAUCGAUGUGUGAUCUUCACCCUUGGUGCAGGUGAUGAAAGCUCCUUGUUGCUAAGUAUCUGCAUGUGAAAAUUAUCAAGUGAGUACACCAAGGAUGGUGGCACAACUGCUCUCCAGGACAGAAAUGUUAAUGCCAUCUGGAAGAAGACAGGUUGCACCUGAUCAGAAAAGAGAAAGGUCUUUUGGGAUAAAAUUGUCCCUUCAAACUUCUCUUGAACACAUUUGAACUGGCAGGAAGAUUUCGUACCCCUUCAGCACCUUUUGUUAGGUAACUGUGAUGCAUUUGGGCUGACAGCAGGAGCCCUCCCGUUGGAGCUCUCCCACAGAGUCACUGCUGCGUGUGACACACCUGGAAGCAAAGGAGCAGUCACACGUGGAGCCUCUUUGAUGCUGUUUUCCAUCUGGUUUUCUGUGAGCAUGUAACGUGCAACUCACCACCAUUUCUAGGGAAUCAAAAUCGUGUGACACCUCUAUGUGUGUGUGUUUCCUUCCCGUUAACAUCUUUCAGUCCACCAUAGCUUUGACCAUAUUUUAUAUCUCAGAAUAAAAUGUUGUUCCUGCAUAUCCCAUGUAAAUAAUUUACCAAGGAAAGGAGAGAAUUGGUUCUGACUGUGCACAAGAUCUGUCCUAAUGAAUUCUGAUCUGAUGGCUGGGUUGUACAGCUGGACCUGGCAGACAGCAAGC